UGAGCAAUCUGCCCUUCUCAUCGGAAUAAGCGUUGGAAACGACGUCUAAUGCCGAAUACGACCUCCUUUCGCAUGAUCGGAGGUGGAAAGCUCCGGCGGAGAAGGAUGAGCUCGCGGCCUAUCAGCUAGCUGGUGAGGUAACGGCUCACCAAGGCUUCGACGGGUAGCCGGCCUGAGAGGGCGACCGGCCACACUGGGACUGAGAUACGGCCCAGACCUCCGUAGGGAGG
rnacentral:rRNA from 1 species